rnacentral:rRNA from 1 species
CCGAAUGGGGGAACCCAGCAUGUUGAAGACAUGUUAUCCGUAAGGAGGCAAACCCGGAGAACUGAAACAUCUAAGUACCCGGAGGAGAAGAAAACAAAAGUGAUUCCGCUAGUAGUGGCGAGCGAACGCGGAAUAGCCCAAACCAUUAUUGUUACGGCAAUACUGGGGUUGUAGGACUGCGAUAUUGGUUGUGUAAUGAAUUAGAAUCCUUUGGAAAGAGGAACCAUAGAGGGUGAUAGUCCCGUAUAAGUAAAGAUCAUUAACCAUAGCAGUAUCCUGAGUAGUGCGGGACACGUGUAAUCCUGUAUGAAUUUGGCGGGACCAUCCGCUAAGGCUAAAUACUCCUGAGAGACCGA